AAUUCAUCUCAUCUUAGACUUCCUCAACAUGUGAUUAUUGCUCCUCAUAGAACUCGUCCUAGAAGAUAGAAUAAUGUCACGGUGUUGUAAUACGUGAAGUCUUGCUUGAGAAUGCUCCUGGCACCUAGUUAUAGAAGGUAGAAUAGAAAUUGUAACAAAAAAAUCCUAACUCCAAUAGAAUACUAACUAAACUCUAAUUAAACCAUAAUAAUGCUAAGUAAGCUUUUAUCAAAUUCAAAAAAACCUCAAAAGAAUUACAAAGAAAUAAUAAUAAAUCUUAAAGAAAUAUUAGAAUGAUGACAAAUAUAUCUCAAAUACAUCUCAAUUCAAUCUUAAUUUAAUCCUAAUUAAAAUCUCAUUGGACUUCAUUCAAACUUUAGGCUAAAAACUAACUAAAUCUCAAAUCUUAAACAAACCAUAAUAAAAUCCUAAAUCCUAAACCAAAUCCUAACCAAAUCCUAAAUCAAACCUUAAUCAAACCUUAAAUCUAAAAUCAAAUCCUAAAUCCUAAACCAAAUCCUAAAUCCUAAACCAAAUCCUAACUAAAUCCUGAUCCUAAAUAAAAUCCCAACCGAAUCCUAAAUCCUAAAUCAAAUCCUAAUCAAACCUUAAAUCCUAAAUCAAAUCCUAAAUCCUAAACCAAACUCUAAUCAAAUCCUAAUCCUAAAUCAAAUCCUAACCAAAUCUUAAUCCUAAAUCAAACAUUAAUCACACCUUAACUCUAAAUCAAAUCCUAAUCAAAUCCUAAAUCCUAAACCAAAUCCUAACCAAACCUUAAAUCCUAAACCAAAUCCUAACCGAAUCUUACUAAUUUCUACAACAAAUUUAAAUAUCAAUAACUAAUAAAUGAACCAUAUAUUUUAAUUCAAUUUUUUCACAAUUCUUAAAAACUAAAUUCAAAACAAGUACAAAAAAUUUGAAAAGGAUCGAAAUUAUCAAAUAGACGAUAACCUCAAAAAUGUGCUCGGGUAUUGGUCA
rnacentral:lncRNA from 1 species